rnacentral:rRNA from 1 species
CCUACGGGAGGCAGCAGUGGGGAAUAUUGGACAAUGGGCGAAAGCCUGAUCCAGCAAUGCCGCGUGAGUGAUGAAGGCCUUAGGGUUGUAAAGCUCUUUUACCAGGGAUGAUAAUGACAGUACCUGGAGAAUAAGCUCCGGCUAACUCCGUGCCAGCAGCCGCGGUAAUACGGAGGGAGCUAGCGUUGUUCGGAAUUACUGGGCGUAAAGCGUACGUAGGCGGUUAUUCAAGUCAGAGGUGAAAGCCUGGAGCUCAACUCCAGAACUGCCUUUGAAACUAGAUAGCUAGAAUCUUGGAGAGGUGAGUGGAAUUCCGAGUGUAGAGGUGAAAUUCGUAGAUAUUCGGAAGAACACCAGUGGCGAAGGCGACUCACUGGACAAGUAUUGACGCUGAGGUACGAAAGCGUGGGGAGCAAACAGGAUUACGGAUACCCUGGUAGUCCACGCCGUAAACGAUGAUAACCUAGCUGUUCGGGCUCUACGAGCUUGAGUGGCGCAGCUUAACGCAUUAAGUUAUCCGCCUGGGGAUACGGUCGCAAGUAAAACUCAAAGGAAUUGACGGNNGAG